UACGUAGGGUGCGAGCGUUAAUCGGAAUUACUGGGCGUAAAGCGUGCGCAGGCGGUUUGUUAAGUCUGAUGUGAAAGCCCCGGGCUCAACCUGGGAACUGCAUUGGAAACUGGCAAGCUCGAGUAUGGCAGAGGGGGGUGGAAUUCCGCGUGUAGCAGUGAAAUGCGUAGAUAUGCGGAGGAACACCGAUGGCGAAGGCAAUCCCCUGGACCUGUACUGACGCUCAUGCACGAAAGCGUGGGGAGCAAACAGG
rnacentral:rRNA from 1 species